AUGCAAACUGGCAGAAGGCCACGGACACUGUGCCCGAAGGUCCGCAUCAAAAAGGAGUUAAAAAGAAAAAAAAAGAUGGGGUGGGGGUGGGGGGGGAUUUCCUUUUACCUUUUCUCUUCACGUGGUGUGAGGGUUUGGGAGUGGGCACUGGCGGGCGGGCGAGCUCGCUGGGAGGAACAGUUAUUGUGCCUACGGCCCGAGCUGACGCUCCUCACAGCCGCCACUUUCCUCGGACUCUCCGAAGUUGUGCCAUGUGCUGAGGGGCCGCGCUCUGCAGCUCCCCUGAAUUCGGCUCCCCGCCCGGCCCGGCCUGACAGAACGGAGAACGGCAGCGCGGCCCCACGCCCCCACACAAAGGCUUACGCCGCCGCCCGGCCGAGCGGGGCGAGAGGAGAAAAGAAAAAGAGGGAGAAGCAGCCCCCGCCGCCCCGCGUCGGGACGACCUCCCGCCCCGUCCUGUCCCGUCCCCGCGCUAGCUCCGCACGGCCCGAGCCGAGAAGGAAAUAAAAACACCGCGCCGAGGUCUUGCAAGCAAAGGCACACAAGAAAGCAUGCAGGGAUUUGGGGAAGAGGAGGUUUUGUUCUUCCCACCUUUCACCAUGCAAAGUCACAGAAGUGCUUUGUAGAAGUUUGGAAACAAGUCCUGUGGUGCAAAACCAGCUGCCUCCAGCACCAGUGUUCCUGUGAACAGUGAACCCCAUCACUAGCAUUCUGAAGUCAAGCACAG
rnacentral:lncRNA from 1 species